GAAACGUGGUAAAAAAUCCUGAUGAAGAGAAGUUCAGAAAAAUUAGACUUAGCAACCAAACUUUCCAGGAUAGAGUGGGUGCACUGAGAGGAGGAAUUGAGUUUCUAGAGCUGUGUGGGUUCGAGAAAAUUGAAGGUGGCGAGUUCUUGUUUCUGCCUAGAAACAAGGUUGACAGGGCAGUGCUCAAUUCAGCUGGCUCUGAGCUCGACUCUGCUAUAAAGAAUCCCUUCUUUGGCGUUCUCUGAUUUCAUGUUAUAGAGGGAA
rnacentral:misc_RNA from 1 species